GCGCUCGCCUCGGCAGCACAUACACUAUCACUGAAAGGACACAGAGAACAUUAGCAUGGCCCCUGCGCAAGGAUGACAUGCAAAUGCGUGAAGCAUUCCGUUAAAAA
ensembl:snRNA U6 U6 spliceosomal RNA